rnacentral:rRNA from 1 species
AGCGAACGCUGGCGGCAGGCUUAACACAUGCAAGUCGAACGCCCCGCAAGGGGAGUGGCAGACGGGUGAGUAACACGUGGGAACGUACACUUUGGUUCGGUAUAUCUUGGGGAAACCCAAGCUAAUACCGGCUAAGACCUUAUGGGGAAAGGUUUACUGCUGAAGGAUCGGCCCGCGACUGAUUAGCUAGUUGGUGAGGUAAUUGCUCACCAAGGCGACGAUCAGUAGCUGGUCUGAGAGGAUGAUCAGCCACACUGGGACUGAGACACGGCCCAGAAUCCUACGGGAGGCAGCAGUGGGGAAUAUUGGACAAUGGGGGCAACGCUGAUCCAGCCAUGCCGCGUGAGUGAUGAAGGCCUUAGGGUUGUAAAGCUCUUUUACCCGGGACGAUAAUGACUGUACCGGGAGAAUAAGCCCCGGCUAACUUCGUGCCAGCCGCCGCCGUAA